rnacentral:tRNA from 1 species
GGGUGCAUAGCUCAGUGGUAGAGCGCAUACCCAGCACGCAGGAAGCCCUGGGUUCGAUCCCCGGUAUCUCCA